GUAAAAUAAUGGAUAAAGUAGUAAAAUAAUGGAGAAAGUAGUAAAAUAAUGGAUAAAGUAGGAAAAUAAUGGAUAAAGUAGUAAAAUAAUGGAUAAAGUAGUAAAAUAAUGGAUAAAGUGGCUCUCAGGUGGAUUUCCUUUUGGCUUUUUUCCUACCGCCCUCCUGGUACGGCGAACAUCAUGGUGUCUAGUCCUGACAGGCAGACGCCUCCACAGCAGCAAUAAUGACGCAGUUCUUGGCACGGCACAGACAGAAUGUUCUCUAAAAACAGAACCAGCCAGAGUGGUUCUAAAAGCUCAGAAACUCUCUGACUGAACCUCUCCUUCCACCGAGUCUGACGUCUUCCAGGUGGGACCUGGUUGGUGGUUAACCUCUGACUGCAGGUUAACCUCUGACUGCAGGGCCCUCACCAGUGUUCAUAGAAACUUCUUUUCUCAGGUUCUAAGUGCAGAACAGCUAGUCUCCUCUUUCCCAAAGAGGUUUCCUUUAAGAUCAUUCCCCGCUGUUACCCAGUAAAAUCAUUUUUGAUUAAAUUCAUACCACCUGUACUUCCUGCAGCACUUACUCUGUUUCUCACCUGUUUUGGUCUUGGCGUCUAUGGUAAGGUAUUUGUCGCUUCAUACUGAAUAUUUAUGACAAAUUGAAACUUUAUUUUAAGGAUGUUUUAGUUGGAAUCACACAAUAUAAAGAAGAACUUUCUGACCAUUUCUUUUUAUGUAAACUUUUGCUGCUGUUGGCCAAGUUUUAUAUCCACAAAUGUAAGAUAAGUGUUAUGAUGAAACCCUCAUGUUUCUCUUUUUAAAGGAAGCAACAGUUUAUUUCUCUACGUUGUCCUCCUCAAUUACAAAAACGUUAUUAAAACUUUAUCUUUAUGCUCUAAAGUCCAAAUAUUUAUGUAAUCUCCAUACAUGCUGUUAUGUGUAGCUUUAUUUUAUUGGUCAUCUUUUUCUACAAACCCCUGGCGAUUGUUCACUUUUCUUUGUGUUCUUUCUUUUUGUAUGUUACAAAGAAUAUUCUAAUAAAGUAAAAAUAGAAAACUU